rnacentral:rRNA from 1 species
GCUACAGGCUUAACACAUGCAAGUCGCGGGGCAGCAUGGGGGUUGCUUGCAACCCCCGAUGGCGACCGGCGCACGGGUGAGUAACGCGUAUCCAACCUGCCCUUCACCACGGGAUAACCCGGCGAAAGUCGGACUAAUACCGUAUGUUGUCCAUUGACGGCAUCCGAUUUGGACGAAAGGCUUUGCGGUGAAGGAUGGGGAUGCGUCCGAUUAGCUUGACGGCGGGGUAACGGCCCACCGUGGCUACGAUCGGUAGGGGUUCUGAGAGGAAGGUCCCCCACACUGGAACUGAGACACGGUCCAGACUCCUACGGGAGGCAGCAGUGAGGAAUAUUGGUCAAUGGGCGCAAGCCUGAACCAGCCAAGUAGCGUGCAGGAUGACGGCCCUAUGGGUUGUAAACUGCUUUUAUGCGGGGAUAAAGUGGCCCACGUGUGGGCUUUUGCAGGUACCGCAUGAAUAAGGACCGGCUAAUUCCGUGCCAGCAGCCGCGGUAAUCCGGAAGGUCCGGGCGUUAUCCGGAUUUAUUGGGUUUAAAGGGAGCGUAGGCCGCGCCUUAAGCGUGUUGUGAAAUCCGGUUGCUCAACAUCCGGCUUGCAGCGCGAACUGGGGCGCUUGAGUGCGCUGAAAGUAGGCGGAAUUCGUGGUGUAGCGGUGAAAUGCUUAGAUAUCACGAGGAACUCCGAUUGCGAAGGCAGCCUACUGUAGCGCUACUGACGCUGAUGCUCGAAAGCGUGGGUAUCGAACAGGAUUAGAUACCCUGGUAGUCCACGCGGUAAACGAUGGAUGCUCGUUGUCGGCCCUUUGGGUCGGUGACCAAGCGAAAGCGUUAAGCAUC